rnacentral:rRNA from 1 species
AAUGAACGCUGGCGGCGCGCCUAAUACAUGCAAGUCGAGCGAGAAGACGUAGCAAUACGUUUGUAAAGCGGCGAACGGGUGAGGAAUACAUGGGUAACCUACCCUCGAGUGGGGAAUAACUAGCCGAAAGGUUAGCUAAUACCGCGUACGCUCCUUGGACUUCGGUUCAGGGAGGAAAGCGAUACCGUGGGUAUCGCGCUCUUGGUUGGGCUCAUGUCCUAUCAGCUUGUUGGUGAGGAACGGCUCACCAAGGCUUCGACGGGUAGCUGGUCUGAGAGGACGAUCAGCCACACUGGCACUGCGACNCGGGCCAGACUCCUACGGGAGCAGCAGUAAGGAAUAUUGCGCAAUGGGCGAAAGCCUGACGCAGCGACGCCGCGUGGGGGA